rnacentral:rRNA from 1 species
GAUGAACGCUGGCGGCGUACCUAAUACAUGCAAGUCGAGCGAACAGACGAGGAGCUUGCUCCUCUGACGUUAGCGGCGGACGGGUGAGUAACACGUGGAUAACCUACCUAUAAGACUGGGAUAACUUCGGGAAACCGGAGCUAAUACCGGAUAAUAUAUUGAACCGCAUGGUUCAAUAGUGAAAGACGGUUUUGCUGUCACUUAUAGAUGGAUCCGCGCCGCAUUAGCUAGUUGGUAAGGUAACGGCUUACCAAGGCGACGAUGCGUAGCCGACCUGAGAGGGUGAUCGGCCACACUGGAACUGAGACACGGUCCAGACUCCUACGGGAGGCAGCAGUAGGGAAUCUUCCGCAAAGGGCGAAAGCCUGACGGAGCAACGCCGCGUGAGUGAUGAAGGUCUUCGGAUCGUAAAACUCUGUUAUUAGGGAAGAACAAACGUGUAAGUAACUAUGCACGUCUUGACGGUACCUAAUCAGAAAGCCACGGCUAACUACGUG